rnacentral:rRNA from 1 species
UGCCGCGUGAGUGAAGAAGGCCUUCGGGUUGGAAAGCUCUUUUGUCAGGGAAGAAACGGUGGAGGCUAAUAUCCUUUGCUAAUGACGGUACCUGAAGAAUAAGCACCGGCUAACUACGUGCCACCAGCCGCGGUAAUACAUACGGUGCAAGCGUUAAUCGGAAUUACUGGGCGUAAAGCGUGCGCAGGCGGUUUUGUAAGUUUGUCGUGAAAGCCCCGGGCUCAACCUGGGAAUUGCGAUGAACACUGCUUGGCUUGAAUCUGGCAGACGGGGGUAGAAUUCCACGUGUAGCAAUGAAAUGCGUUUAGAUGUGGAGGAACACCGAUGGGCAAGGCACCCCCCUGGGUCAGGAUUGACGCUCAUGCACGAAAGCGUGGGGAGCAAACAGGAUUAGAUACCCUGGUAGUCCACGCCCUAAACGAUGUCUACUAUUUGUCGGGUUUUAAUUGACUUGGUAACGCAGCUAACGCGUGAAGUAGACCACCUGGGGAGUACGGUCGCAAGAUUAAAACUCAGAGGAAUUGACGGGGACCCGCACAAGCGGUGGAUGAUGUGGAUUAAUUCGAUGCGACGC